rnacentral:lncRNA from 1 species
CCUGCCCCGGGGCUGCCAGCGAAAGUUGAGGAGGGUGGGGCUGUAGCUCAGGCUCUGGGCGGGCGACUUUCCCUUAGGUGCACGCGCUGACCCAGGCCAGCGGUCUUUUCAGCAGAGUGUGAGGCCGCUGCACCUCGGUGGAGACUAGAAGGUGACCCAUGUAAUGCGGGGCACCCUUGCAUGGCCCUCUGCAAAGACAGAACCCAGGCACGCCUAUCCGGCUGGGCUACUCACUCACGCCCCUAUGGCUCCAUCAAUCUGGUUAGUGGGCUCAGGUGUUUCAGAAUCUCCUUCCAAUCCUCUGUCCUUGCCAGGAUGCGCAGGACACCCCGCCUCCCGAAGAGGGAGAGAGAGAAAAAUCCUUCACUUACGGUCACGGGCAGCCCCGUAGAUUCCCUGGUGAAAGGGACUGGAGGGAUCGGAUCGACAGUGUAGUGUCCUGAGUGACUGCAAUUGAAAUUACUUUGCUCUGGACUCAUCUAUCAGGAGCUGUGGGUUCUUAGUAAAGGGAACCCCACAAAGACAAGCCUUCUCUGAGACUGGUGUUAUGGAAGGGAGCUGGGAGAAAGGGGAGUGACCAGUCCACAAGAACCUCCUGACUCGAUCUUUUGUAGGCUCGGCAUCGUAGUGUCAGCCCCUGCAUCUCCCUCAGUUUACCUGGCCUGGGGCAGGAUGAGAGGACCACCACCCCCCAUCUUGAUGCCUAUCCCUAGAGGUCAAGAGAGAAGCCAGAUGGAGCCAGGCUGAACAACAGCUGGUCCGCUACAGCAGCAUCCCUGAUGGACCCCAGUGUUAAUUCCGGCAUGUCUGAUCUGCCAGUCCGAGAACCCCAUUCAGAUUCUGAGCACUCCUGGCUCCACCAUCACCAAGGUUCUUCCCCCUUAGGCUCCUCAACAGCCUGCUUCUACCUUCCCCUUCAGUCUGCUCUUCACAGCCGGCAAAGACCUAGCCAAGCCUAGACACAGCCCUGUCACUCUACCACCCCAAAGCAAGCCAUUUGUGGAACUCAGCUCAUAGCAGGUAACUUAGGCCUUGGAUUCUUUGAAAGAACACUAUUUGGCAUGCAUAAGGCUCCAGGCUUCCUCCCUAGCCCUUAAAGCAGCAGUUCUCUACCUGUGGGUCAUAACCCCUUGGGUAGUCAAAAGACCCUUUCACAAGAGUCUCCU